rnacentral:rRNA from 1 species
AUUGAACGCUGGCGGCAUGCUUUACACAUGCAAGUCGAACGAGUGGCGAACGGGUGAGUAAUACAUCGGAACGUGUCCUAUCGUGGGGGGUUAAUGAUCGAAAGAUCAGCUAAUACCGCAUACGGUUGGAGGGGCCGAUGCCCCAUGAGCUCGUUGGUGUGGUAAAGGGUCACCAAGGCAACGAUGGGUAGCUGGGCUGGGAGGACGACCAGCCACACUGGGACUGAGACAAGGCCGAUACUCCUACGAGAGGUAGGAGUGGGGACUUUUGGACAAUGGGGGCAACCCUGAUCCAGCCAUGGCGCGUGCAGCAUGAAGGUCUUCGGAUUGUAAACGGCUUUUGUCAGGGAAGCGGUACCUGAAGAAUAAGCACCGGCUAACUACGUGCCAGCAGCCGCGGUAAUAC